GACAGAGGGUGCAAACGUUGCUCGGAAUUACUGGGCGUAAAGCGCGUGUAGGCGGGCUGAUAAGUCGGACGUGAAAUCCCUGGGCUCAACCCAGGGACUGCAUCCGAAACUGUCAGUCUGGAGUGGUGGAGAGGGAAGCAGAAUUCCUGGUGUAGAGGUGAAAUUCGUAGAUAUCAGGAGGAACACCGGUGGCGAAGGCGGCUUCCUGGACACUAACUGACGCUGAGACGCGAAAGCGUGGGGAGCAAACAGG
rnacentral:rRNA from 1 species